AGAGUUUGAUCAUGGCUCAGGAUGAACGCUAGUGGGAGGCCUAACACAUGCAAGUCGAACGGGAAGGGAAGCAAUUCCCAGAGAGUGGCGCACGGGUGAGUAACGCGUAUGCAACCUGCCUUUAACUGAGGGAUAGCCCAUAGAAAUGUGGAUUAAUACCUCAUAGUUCUUUUUCUUCGCAUGAAGGAAAAGAUAAAGCUGCGGCGGUUAGAGAUGGGCAUGCGUGACAUUAGCUGGUUGGUGAGGUAACGGCUCACCAAGGCGACGAUGUCUAGGGGUUCUGAGAGGAUGAUCCCCCACACUGGUACUGAGACACGGACCAGACUCCUACGGGAGGCAGCAGUGAGGAAUAUUGGUCAAUGGGCGCAAGCCUGAACCAGCCAUCCCGCGUGCAGGAUGACGGCCCUAUGGGUUGUAAACUGCUUUUGUACACCAAGAAAACUCGCUACGUGUAGCGAUCUGACGGUAGUGUAUGAAUAAGCAUCGGCUAACUCCGUGCCAGCAGCCGCGGUAAUACGGAGGAUGCAAGCGUUAUCCGGAUUCAUUGGGUUUAAAGGGUGCGUAGGCGGCCUUUUAAGUCAGUGGUGAAAUCCUGCCGCUUAACGGUAGAAUUGCCAUUGAUACUGAAAGGCUUGAGUUCAGUUGAGGUAAGCGGAAUGUGUAGUGUAGCGGUGAAAUGCUUAGAUAUUACACAGAACACCAAUUGCGAAGGCAGCUUACUAAACUGACACUGACGCUGAUGCACGAAAGCGUGGGGAGCGAACAGGAUUAGAUACCCUGGUAGUCCACGCCGUAAACGAUGUUCACUCGCUGUUUGCGAUACACAGCAAGCGGCCAAGCGAAAGCAUUAAGUGAACCACCUGGGGAGUACGAUCGCAAGGUUGAAACUCAAAUGAAUUGACGG
rnacentral:rRNA from 1 species